ensembl:lncRNA
AAAGCAGCAGAGGAAAGGUCUUGUUACCUAGGAUAAAAAUCAAACAUUAUGCCCCACCUGCCUCAACUUUCAUUUUGGAAGGAUUUGGAUGUGUUCACCAGAACAUAUUUCUCAGCAUGAACCUUCACAUUAUCUGUUUUUCCUUUUCUUUGAGCUGUCAUUAAGAAAUUAGAGACCUGUUGGAUCAAAUAAUCAUCCACAGGAACAGCCGCUAGUCCCUUGCUUUUUAAAAAUGUGCCGUUUGCAUUUGGCUUUUAUGUUGUAGAUUGGAGGCAAAUUCCCUUAUACAGCUUAAAACUUACUCUGCAUUUUAAUAGGGCUCUCAAACUGUACUUUCAUCCCUCCUGGAGCUUGUGUGUCGUAUGUAAACUUGAUGAGUGUGUUCUUUCCCUUCCUUCAGCCAAUUCAGAAAUGAAAAUCAUAAGCAAUGCUCAAUCUCAAGACAAAGCCUCAUAGGGGUCUUUCCUAUAUCUCCUUCCAGUCUGACAUUGAUCUGCUAAUUCUGAGCUAAUAUCUCUUAUCAAGGUGUUUGUGUCCAUCUGACUGGGACUUCCCUCAAGCUACACCUGAAGUUUAUUCACAGGGCUCUCAUGGUGGAUUCCUGUCAAACACUUUCCUGAACGUAAGGAACAGGGCUAUCCACAGGUGAUGGGGGACUUCAAAGCAUGCCAUGGGCACAGGAUUCCAUUAAAGGGAAUAGGGCUUUUGAGCUUGCAACAGAAGUUUCAAGGCAGCACCUUAAGGAAGGAAAGAACAAGUUGUGGGCUUUUGCCAAAGAAAACGUGUUAGCCUUUGAUGGGCCACAAGAACCUCUGCUGGUUUUUUUUGCCAGAGUAGACUACAGACUCGCAUGGCUGCUCUUCCGGAAGAGUCAUCAAUUUUGUUGCGACCCUGAGUCCAAGAGGAAGGUUGUCUCGUGGACAGAGGGAGGAGAAGUGAGAAGGAGGUGUACAAAACAGGGCUGGAUUAGCUAAAGACCCCUACGGCUAAGCUCCAGAAGCUGAUCCACCAGGUUCCAACCUGCACUGUGGUUAGUAACUAGAAUUUGGAAACCUGGGAAUAUCCUCUGUGUCGGCCUGGGUCUGUCCAAGAACGUGAAUUCUGAAAAGCAACGCUAACUGUUUGCAAAUGAUAACAACAUUGCUUGUGUAUUUCUCUGUCUUUGCCCAAACCAGCCAUCUAUUCUAAACAAAGGAGAGACUUGCCAGCGACCAGAGGAAAUGGCUUCCUGUGCCAAGACAUGGCACGUUACGCAGCCUGCCUUGUGCUUUCUAAUGCAACCCCCCGUUAAACUGGCCAAAAUUAAGAUGAAGAAGCUUGCGGAGCCAGUUCCUUACGUUGCCAUAAGCUGUUAUUACUUCUGCUUGACGAUGGGAAGCAUUGGGGCUGAAAGACAUUGCUGGCGCGAUGCAACUUGGCCAAACCUCGAUGGCAGCUCUUGUUUAGAUUGCCUUAGUGGUGUAUGAUAUAUACAGAGAGCUUAUUGGCAGCAAAGUGCCACUGUGGGAUUAACCAUCUGUUCCUCAACAGCAAAUGGGCAUGUCCAGAAAAUCAAUUAGGGAUUUUAAAAACUCAGCUGCUGUUCCUUACUGUCUUCUUUUGCAUGCUUUAUGGCAAAUGUUAGCGGGCCUUUAGUCAAAUGAAAAGAAAACCUUUCUAAAAUUUGAUUUACCCUCAAGGACCAUUAAAAAUAUAUUGUGAUUGCCAGAUUUUCAAAUAUGUAAGUGUACAGCUGUAUGAAAUGCUUUGUUGUUGUUUAGUUGUUUAGUCGUGUCCGACUCUUCGUAACCCCAUGGACCAGAGCACGCCAGGCCCUCCUGUCUUCCACUGUCUCCCGGAGUUGUGUCAAAUUCAUAUUGGUUGCUUCGAUGAAAUGCUUAGCUCAUAUUUAGAAGCAGUGCUCCCUCAAAUGCUGAAAGAUGUCUAUUUGUCAUUGUAUAUGCCAUCUGUCUCUGUUGUAUCUUUCAUUCCAGGCUCUGCUGAGUCAUGAAAGGUACUGGAAAUUAAAUAAGGACUUGAUUCACAAAUCUAAUUACACAUAUCAGAUCUCUGAAAAAAUUGCAAGGCUGGAGGAGAAGAUAGACUAGUUUAAAGAAAGAGACGUUUUCUUUAACAUCUAAACUCUAAGCUUCUGGUGUGAAAAAAAAAAACUGGUUCUACAGUAUCUAACCGGAACCACCCUUCUGUUUAACAUAUAUCAUAAAAUCCCAUUUGCAGCCCAGAUUUAAAAUUCAAUUGAAAUAUUGCCUGCUUUAUAUUUGUUUGCAUUCCACCUUUCCUCCAAGAAGUUCAUGGUGGCUUCAUUAAACCCUUUUCUCUCUCUAAUGACCCUUUUAGGUAGAUAGGACUGAGUCUUAGUGAUUAGUUCGAGGUUGGCCAGUGAGUUUCUUGGCUGAAUGGGGAGCUGAAUCAGACCUUCCCAGCUCUGGCCUAAUUUUCUAAGUAUUAUAUCGGCUUUCCAGAAGUGGGAAUAGCAAUGUGAUCGUAGAACACUGUGCUGGGAAAAUAAACUGCACUGCUCCAUUUGAGUGUCCA